UAGGGAAUCUUCGGCAAUGGGGGGAACCCUGACCGAGCAACGCCGCGCGAGUGAAGAAGGUUUUCGGAUCGUAAAGCUCUGUUGUUAAGGAAGAACGAGUGUGAGAAUGGAAAGUUCAUACUGUGACGGUACUUAACCAGACAGGGACGGCUAACUACGUGCCAGCAGCCGCGGUAAUACGUAGGUCCCGAGCGUUGUCCGGAUUUAUUGGGCGUAAAGCGAGCGCAGGCGGUUAGAUAAGUCUGAAGUUAAAGGCAGUGGCUCAACCAUUGUAGGCUUUGGAAACUGUUUAACUGGAGUGCAGAAGGGGAGAGUGGAAUUCCAUGUGUAGCGGUGAAAUGCGUAGAUAUAUGGAGGAACACCGGUGGCGAAAGCGGCUCUCUGGUCUGUAACUGACGCUGAGGCUCGAAAGCGUGGGGAGCGAACAGG
rnacentral:rRNA from 1 species